GUGCUUCUAGGCGGUUGUUAGAGCGGUUGCUAGGGUACCCAGGGUGGUUGCUAGGGUGUUGCUAUGUCGUUGCUAGGUUAGUUGGGGUGGUUGCUAGGGUCCCCAGGAUGGUUGCUAGGGCCGUUGCUAGGGUACCCAGCAUGGUUGCUAGGGUAAUUGGGGUGGUUGCUAGGGUGUUGCUAUGUGGUUGCUAGGUCACUUGGGGUGGUUGCUAAGGUGUUGCUAGGCGGUUGCUAGGGUGUUCUGGGUGGUUGCUAGGCGGUUGCUAGGCAGUUGCUAAGGUACUUAGGGUGGUUGCUAAGGUGUUGCUAGGUGGUUGCUAGGGU
ensembl:lncRNA